AUUGAACGCUGGCGGCAGGCCUAACACAUGCAAGUCGAACGAGUGGCGGACGGGUGAGUAUUGUCUGGGAAACUGCCUGAUGGAGGGGGAUAACUACUGGAAACGGUAGCUAAUACCGCCUACCCUCGGAUGUGCCCAGAUGGGAUUAGCUAGUUGGUGGGGUAAAGGCCGGCCAAGGCGACUAUCCGUAACUGGUGUGAGAGGAUGAACAGGCAGACUGGGAUGGGGACACGGUCCAGAACCUUACGGGAGGCAGCAGUGGGGACUAUUGGACAAUGGGCGAAACACUGAUCAAGCCAUGCCGCGUGUGUGAAGAAGGUAUUCGGGUUGUAAAGCGCUUUUAGUAGGGAGGCGUUAUCAACAGAAUAAGCCACGGCUAACUACGUGCCAGCCGCCGCGGUAAUAC
rnacentral:rRNA from 1 species